rnacentral:rRNA from 1 species
GUUUUCACCUCGGGUGACAGGGAGACAGGUGGUGCAUGGUUGUCGUCAGCUCGUGUCGUGAGAUGUUGGUUAAGUCCCGCAACGAGCGCAACCCCUACGUUUAGUUUGCUAACAGGUGAAGCUGAGCACUCUAGACGAACUGCCGUUGACAAACGGAGGAAGAUGGGGAUGACGUCAAAUCAUCAUGCCCCUUAUGUCCUGGGCUACACACGUACUACAAUGGCCGUUACAACGGGAAGCGAAGGAGCAAUCCGGAGCAAAUCCCUUAAAGGCGGUCCCAGUUCAGAUUGUGGGCUGAAACUCGCCCACAUGAAGGCGGAAUUGCUAGUAAUUGCAGAUCAGCAUGCUGCAGUGAAUACGUUCCCGGGCCUU